CCGACUGCUAUUUGGGUGAGAAUAAGCCAUGCGAGUUGAAUGGGAUACCUAAAGUUCCCAUAGCAAACUGCUCAGUAACACAUGAUCAACUUACCCUAUAGAGAAAAAUAACCUCGGGAAACUGAGGAUAAUGUUUCAUAAUUGAAUUGGCUUGGAAAAGUUUUUCAAUGAAAAGGAUAAAAAAAAUGGUUUUUAUCUGCUAUAGGAUAGGAUCGUGUUCGAUUAUGGUUGUUGGUGAGAUAAUGGCUCACCAAGCCGAUAAUCGAUAGGGGCCGUGAGAGCGGGAGCCCCGAGAUGGGUACUGAGACAACGACCCAGGCCUUACGAGGCGCAGCAGGCGCGGAACCUCCGCAAUACACGAAAGUGUGACGGGGUUACCCAAAGUGUUCAAUAGAACUGUGGUAGGUGAGUAAUGUCCCCUACUAGAAAGGAGAGGGCAAGGCUGGUGCCAGCCGCCGCGGUAAAACCAGCUCUUCAAGUGGUCGGGAUAAUUAUUGGGCUUAAAGUGUCCGUAGCCGGUUUAGUAAGUUCCUGGUAAAAUCGGGUAGCUUAACUAUCUGCAUGCUAGGAAUACUGCUAUACUAGAGGGCGGGAGAGGUCUGAGGUACUACAGGGGUAGGGGUGAAAUCUUAUAAUCCUUGUAGGACCACCAGUGGCGAAGGCGUCAGACUGGAACGCGCCUGACGGUGAGGGACGAAAGCCAGGGGAGCAAACCGGAUUAGAUACCCGGGUAGUCCUGGCCGUAAACGAUGCAUACUAGGUGAUGGUGCGGCCAUGAGCCGUAUCAGUGCCGUAGGGAAACCGUUAAGUGUGCCGCCUGGGAAGUACGGUCGCAAGGCUAAAACUUAAAGGAAUUGGCGGGGGAGCACCACAAGGGGUGAAGCCUGCGGUUCAAUUGGAUUCAACGCCGGA
rnacentral:rRNA from 1 species